rnacentral:rRNA from 1 species
GACGAACGCUGGCGGCGUGCUUAACACAUGCAAGUCGAACGGAGUUACGUAUGAAGUAUUUCGGUACGGACUAUGUAACUUAGUGGCGAACGGGUGAGUAACACGUGGGCAACCUGCCCUUAACCGGGGGAUAACAUUGUGAAAACAGUGCUAAUACCGCAUAACAGAGUAUCGGGCAUCCGAUAUUUUUAAAAAGGAGCAAUCCGGUUUUGGAUGGGCCCGCGUCCAAUUAGCUAGUUGGUGAGGUAACGGCUCACCAAGGCUACGAUUGGUAGCCGAACUGAGAGGUUGAUCGGCCACAUUGGGACUGAGACACGGCCCAGACUCCUACGGGAGGCAGCAGUGGGGAAUAUUGGGCAAUGGGCGAAAGCCUGACCCAGCGACGCCGCGUGAAGGAUGAAGGUCUUCGGAUUGUAAAACUUCUUUGAUCAGGGAAGAAAGAAAUGACGGUACCUGAAGAACAAGCCACGGCUAACUACGUG